rnacentral:lncRNA from 1 species
UCUGCUACGUGUCACUCACCAGGUGCCAGGCAGGGCAUGCGGCCUCAGAGGCAGUGCAGGGAUGAAGAUAGAUCCCCGCCCUCCGGGAGCUCACAGGCUGGGGUGAACAGCCUUUCUCUCUUCUUCUUCUCCUGUGAAUCAGCUCGGGGUGGACCCCGUCACCGAGCAGCAACACGCGCUGUGGAACAUGGAGGAUGGUCAGGUCAGCUCUGACAGGCAGCGUCACACCUCCUGAGGACAGCCAGGAGGACUCCGGCUUUUGCUGAACCUUGCAUCUUGCCUCCUUCCUUCCAAAGGCUCCAGACCCAAGUUCGGCUGCCCUGGAGUCCUGCGUGGCCCCUGGCCAGGCCCUCUGCUGCCCCUCCAGGCCAGCCCAGUUCUGGAGCUCACCUCCAGGACCUGGAGCCUGCCCUCCUGCCCAGAAUGACUCACCAUUAUUUCUCGCUCAAGUGAGAAGGCGUGAUGGGCAGCCAGGCUGCCUAUUUGUGUAUCUAGGAUUCCCACAGUAUCUGAUCAGCUCUGUGUGGAGGAGAGCUUCGGGUUCCUGCCUUGCCAGCCAAGCGAGGCUGUCUCUCCAGCUCUCAGAGAGCCCUCAGGGCUCUGCCACGGGAACCCAGGCCGAUGCUUCUACAUUUCCAGGGGCCGUAAGCAGCACCCUGAGCUCCCUGCCACCAGGCAGCUGGAAGGCAUAGUGUGAGG